rnacentral:lncRNA from 1 species
CCGGACUCCAUCUCAGUGCCUUGAACGGUAUGAGAAGCUCCUUGAUGCAGCAUGUGCCAAGGAUGAGAAUUAUGAACCUGGCGAUGACCCACGUAAAUUACGUCCUGGAGAGAUAGAUCCCAAUCCAGAAUCCAAACCUGCUCGUCCUGAUCCUGUGGAUAUGGAUGAAGAUGAGAAAGAGAUGCUUUCUGAAGCACGGGCACGGUUAGCCAAUACCAGGGGCAAGAAGGCAAAAAGGAAAGCUAGGGAAAAGCAACUCGAAGAGGCAAGGAGGCUAGCCUCAUUACAGAAAAGAAGAGAACUGAAGGCUGCUGGUAUUGACACUCGGCACAGGAAGAGGAAGAGAAGGGGAAUUGACUAUAAUGCUGAAAUCCCAUUUGAAAAGAAGCCUCCCCCGGGUUUUUAUGAUGUCGCCGAUGAAGAUCAGCCGGUUGAACUGAUUAAAUUUCCAACCACUAUUGAAGAACUGGAAGGUGAAAGAAGAGUUGAUAAGGAAGCACGAUUAAGAAAGCAGGAUGCUGCAAGAAAUAAAAUAGCAGAAAGGCAGGAUGCUCCAUCAGCGAUACUGCAAGCGAACAAGCUUAAUGAUCCAGAAACAGUCAGGAAGAGGUCUAAACUUAAUCUUCCUGCACCACAGAUUCCAGAUCAUGAAUUGGAGGCAAUUGCGAAGAUAGGCAUUGCUAGUGAUCUUGUGGGGAGUGAAGAACUCACUGAAGGGAAUGCAGCGACGCAUGCUCUUCUUGCAAGCUAUGCUCAAACACCUCGGCAGGGGAUGACUCCAUUAAGAACGCCUCAGAGAACUCCUGUAGGUAAGCAAGAUGCUGUUUUGAUGGAAGCUGAAAAUCAGCGGAGAUUGACUCUAUCUCAGACUCCUCUACUUGGGGGAGAGAAUCCUAUGUUGCAC